GUCCGGGUGUCAGUCAGUCCGUUCGGAAAUAACGCGCCCUUUUUCAGUGAGCCUGGAUCGUCACAGCGGACAUCAUCAUGCCAAGCAACCGAUCACCGGCUGAGGUCCUGUGGAAAGCAGAUGAUCAUGGCAAACAAGCCAGAUGAUCUGACGGUUGCUGCUCGCAUCUCGGCCUAGCUGAUGGAACAUUCUUGCUGGAUGAAUGACCUUCACCUUCAACUCAACCUUGCCAAGACAGAACUGCUUUAUGGUUUCAGACAAACCAUACUUGCUGUGAUCCUGCUGAUUUGCCUUACACCAUUAGGAGGAUCAGGCCCUUCCUAUCGGAGCUACACAACUCCUGGUCUAAGCUCUUGCUCUAUCCAGACUGGAUAUUGUAAUUCUCUCUGGACAGGCCUUCCAGCAUCAGUCAAACCUCUGCAACUGAUCCAGAUGCUGCAGCAAGAGUGCU